CGGGGGAUGCCUAGGCUCUCAGAGGCGAAGAAGGACGUGAUAAGCUGCGAUAAGAUCAGGGAAGGGGCACAUACCCGGUGAUCCUGAUAUUUCCGAAUGGGGCAACCCCCUUGGUUGAAGACCAAGGAUCUUUAUCUUUAGGAUGAAGAGGCAAACGCGGGGAACUGAAACAUCUAAGUACCCGCAGGAACAGAAAAUAAGAAUGAUUCCCCAAGUAGUGGCGAGCGAACGGGGACGAGCCCAAACCGGGUUGGUUACGGCCAGCGCGGGGUUGUAGGACCUCAAGAUCUGAUUAUCUUCUUUUAGCUGAAUG
rnacentral:rRNA from 14 species